rnacentral:rRNA from 1 species
GAUGAACGCUGGCGGCGUGCCUAAUACAUGCAAGUCGAGCGAACAGACGAGGAGCUUGCUCCUCUGACGUUAGCGGCGGGCGGGUGAGUAACACGUGGAUAACCUACCUAUAAGACUGGGAUAACGUCGGGAAACCGGAGCUAAUACCGGAUAAUAUAUUGAACCGCAUGGUUCAAUAGUGAAAGACGGUUUUGCGGUCACUUAUAGAUGGAUCCGCGCCGCAUUAGCUAGUUGGUAAGGUAACGGCUUACCAAGGCAACGAUGCGUAGCCGACCUGAGAGGGUGAUCGGCCACACUGGAACUGAGACACGGUCCAGACUCCUACGGGAGGCAGCAGUAGGGAAUCUUCCGCAAUGGGCGAAAGCCUGACGGAGCAACGCCGCGUGAGUGAUGAAGGUCUUCGGAUCGUAAAACUCUGUUAUUAGGGAAGAACAAAUGUGUAAGUAACUAUGCACGUCUUGACGGUACCUAAUCAGAAAGCCACGGCUAACUACGUG